AUAAGCGGAGGAAAAGAAACUAACAAGGAUUCCCCUAGUAACGGCGAGUGAAGAGGGAAGAGCCCAAGAUUGAAAGCUGGCGUCUUCGGCGUCCGCAUUGUAAUCUCAAGAAGUGUUUUCCGCUUCGGACCAUGCCUAAGUCCCUUGGAAAAGGGCAUCAUAGAGGGUGAUAAUCCCGUACAUGGCAUGGAGCGCCCGAGGCUUUGUGAUACACUUUCUAAGAGUCGAGUUGUUUGGGAAUGCAGCUCAAAAUGGGUGGUAAAUGCCAUCUAAGGCUAAAUAUUGGGGAGAGACCGAUAGCGAACAAGUACAGUGAUGGAAAGAUGAAAAGAACUUUGAAAAGAGAGUUAAACAGUACGUGAAAUUGCCAAAAGGGAAGGGUAGGAGGUCAGAGAUGCGUCUUGGGAUUCAGCCUUGCAUUUUGCUUGGUGUUUUUCCCAAGUUUGCAGGCCAACGUCGGUUUUGGGCACUGGAGAAGGGUGGAAGGAAUGUGGCACCUCUCGGGGUGUGUUAUAGCCUUCUACUGGAUACAGCGACCGAGACCGAGGACAGCAGCGUACUCGCAAGAGCGGGCCUUCGGGCACCUUUACGCUUAGGGCGUUGGCAUAAUGGCCCUCUACCACCCGUCUUGAAACACGGACCAAGGAGUCU
rnacentral:rRNA from 1 species